rnacentral:tRNA from 1 species
UUUAAAAGACAGUAGUUAAACUNUACUAUUAAGGG